rnacentral:lncRNA from 1 species
GAUAGAGAGAGCAUCAGAUAUUUACAAAGUAUGAGAAAAUUAACACCAUGCAUCUAUCAUUCUAAUGUGACGUAGAAAUCAAAGACAUGCACAUAUCCAGCAAAAUUUAAAAAAUGAAAUUAACUAAGCACAAAAGGUGGAGUAAUUAAUUUAGCCAAGCAAUCAGGGCAGGUAGUACAUGAGCACACAGGCGACGGUGGUACCGUAGAAGACGAUGAGGACGACGACGAAGAAGGGCGGCUGAGGGGUGAAGGUGGUGCAGACGGCGAGCAGGAUGUUGCAGGACAACAGGUCUUAAAGACAGUGAUCUUCUAGUAGUAAGGUGAUCUCUCCGGUGUGUUAGAUAUAUGAGUAUAGCCCGUGCAUGUACGUAAUGCAUACGUCAUGCAUAUGUCAUGCUUACGUACACAUAUACGUACGUGAGUUCUUGUGUGAUAAUUAUCAUGCAUGGCUGUUAUAGAUCGAUUAGCUUAUAUGACGUCAAUCUCCAUCUUGUACACGGUUACAACAAUCUAAUCUCUAUCUAUCUAUGUAAACGCCAUGGUGGAGGCUGUUUUCACCGAUAUAUAAACACGUACCCGGGCCGAGGCAAAGGUACCGCUUCUCCAAAUAUCUCAAUAAGGGGAACCCUGGCUAGCACAUUAAAAACGUUCUAGUUUACUAUCACUUAACAAAUAGAAUCGUGACGGUGGUACCGUAGAAGACGAGGACGACGACAGCGAAGGGCAGCGAGGGGCGAAGCUGGUGCUGACGGUGAGCGGAUGUUGCAGGAGAAAAGGUCUUAAAGAAAGUGAUCUUCUAGCAAUAAAGCGCUCCAUCUG